CGUGUUGAUUGAGAUCUGAUCUGUAAGAAAGAAAAAAAAAGUCUACAGCCCUCCCUGCCAAGAUCCAUAAUCGAUCGGUGCUUCAAUAUAUACCCGCACCCAUGCGCGGACACAGCAAAACACUUCCAUCCACACUACACCAUACCCACAAAUUAGUUGAUCGAGAGUUGUUAAUAGUAUUGGGAGCUCAACGCGAGCAUGGAUCUGGUGACGGGGGCGAUGGAUAGCCUCGCCCUCAAGCUGCCCAACCUGCUCCAAGAUGAGUACAAGCUGCAGAAGGGCGUCAAGGCGCAAGUUGAGUCACUCACAGAGGAGCUGGAGAGCAUCCAUGCUGCCCUCCGCAAGGUUUCGGAAGUGCCGUGGGACCAGCUCGACGAGCAGGUCAAGAUCUGGGCACGACAGGCCAGGGAGGUGUCCUACAACAUGGAGGAUAUCCUCGACACCUUUUUCGUGCGCGUCGAGGGCCGUGAGCCCGCCGACCCGAGCAAGCUGAAACAAUUCAUGAAGAAGAUGCGCAACCUGUUUAGCAAGGUCAAGGGUCACCAUGAAAUCGCUGGCGCCAUCGAAGACAUCAACAAGAAACUACAGGAGGUGGCCGAGCGGCGUGCUAGAUACAAAGUUGAUGAGAUCGUAGCCAAGACUGCCGCAACGACAUCGACUAUUGAUCCUCGCCUUGAGGCUAUGUACAAAGAAGCUACACAGCUCGUUGGGAUCGACAAGUCAAGGGGCGAGAUCAUAUCCAUGCUGACGUCGUCCCAAGGAGACGAUGCGUCCAACAAGAAGAUCAUGAAGAAGGUUUCCAUUGUUGGAGUUGGAGGAUUGGGCAAGACCACUCUUGCCAAAGCAUCAUAUGACAAGCUUAAGUCGCACUACGAUUGUGGGGCUUUUGUUUCGGUUGGACGGAAUCCUGACUUGGUGAAAGUUUUUAAGGAUAUUCUCUUUGAUCUUGCCAAACACAAGUACGAGAACAUUCAUAACACAGGAAGAGGUAUAGAUCUGCUCAUCCGUGAACUCCGAGAAUUCCUUCAGGACAAAAGGUAUUUCAUUGUUAUUGAUGACAUAUGGGAGCCAAAGUCUUGGGAAACAAUCAAAUUGGCUCUAGUUGAGAAUAACUGCGGAAGUAAAAUAAUCACAACUACUCGUAAAUUUGAAGUUGCCAUAGAAGCCGGUGAGGUUUACAAGCUACAGCCACUUUCAUAUGAUAACUCCAAAAAGUUAUUCUAUACAAGGAUAUUUGGUGAAGAAAAAAGUCCUGAUAACCAACCGGAUGAGGUAUGCGAUAAAAUUCUAAAGAAAUGUGAUGGUAUACCAUUAGCUAUCAUCACUAUGGCUAGUUUGUUGGUGGGAAAACCAAAGGAAGAAUGGUCCGAGCUCUAUAGUGCUAUUGGUUUUGGAGAUAAAAAUAGCAAGCAUGUAGAAAAUACUAUGAGGAUAUUGUCUUUUAGCUACUAUGAUUUACCUUCACAUCUAAGGACAUGCUUACUGUAUCUAAGUAUAUAUCCAGAAGAUUAUGUUAUUGAGAAAGAUUCUUUGAUUUCGAAGUGGAUAGCUGAAGGUUUUGUCCAUGAGAAACAGGAAAAAUGGUUAUUUGAGGUCGGAGAAGGAUACUUCAACGAUCUGAUAAAUAGAAGUAUGAUCCAGCAGGUAGUGGAUAGAGAAUGGCAUGGCAUGGUAUAUGGUUGCCGUGUUCAUGAUAUGGUUCUUGAUCUCAUCCGUUUCUUGUCACGUGAAGAAAACUUUGUUGCUAUAUUAGAUAAUGUUAAAGGCACAAUAUCGAAAAGCAAUGUACGUAGAUUAGCCCAUCAAAAUAGUAUCGCAGAGUACAUUACUCCUCAAGCUAAAGAUAUGGACAUGCCACAAGUGAGGUCAUAUAUUGUGUUUAGGUGUGGUAUUAAUCAACAGGUCCUUUCGAGCUUUAAACUUCUGCGUGUGCUAGCCAUAGAAAGUAGCUGUGUUGGUCUUGAGAAUCUUGGGAAUUUACUUCACUUGAGGUAUCUUGGGCUAAGACGUACAAGUAUUAGUGAAAUCCCGAAACAAAUAGAGAAUCUGAAGUUUCUGCAGACGCUUGAUGUGAGUAGUUCUUCGAUAACAGAACUGCCAUCAAGUGUCUUCAAGCUAACACAGUUGAUGUGCCUACGUUCUGAUUCACGGGGAAUGAGAGUGCCGGAUGGGUUUGGAAAGCUGACAUCCCUGGAGGAGCUAAGGGUAUAUCCUGAACAGUCUAAGAUGGAGAGGUUUGUGAAGGAUCUGGGCAGCCUGAAACAACUGAGGGUGCUCGAUACUCGGUUUUAUGUGAUGGAUGACAGCCUGCAGAAAGAUUUGGUGGAGUCUCUACGCAAUCUCCACAAGAUACAGCAUCUUAGUCUGUUUUUCGUACAAUCUAUCCAUGCAGUUGAAGCCACAUGGGAAGCACCAGGCUUUGUGCUCCCGAAAGAUCUCCGUCAUUUGAAUUUGAUAAACAUUGACUUCCCUAGGCUGCCGUCAUGCGUUAAUCUCUCGUGUCUUCCCAACCUCUCUUGCUUGCAUUUGCAAAUGAAUACUAUGGAUGAUCAGGAUCUGGAAAAACUUGGUAGGUUGCCGGAACUCCGUUCUCUCCGUCUGGGUAUCGGCUCCGUGCGAGCAAUAAGCAAUAUUAAUGCCGGUGAUAGAUUCUUCCAGAAGCUAAGGGUGUUCCGGCCAUCGGCAAUGGUCAAGUUUCAGGGUAACGAGGACUCGAGCGUUUCAUUUCAUAUAUGGAAUGGAAACAGUGAUGUGCCCUUUGGCUCCAGAAAAAACGACCACAGCAGCGUGCCCUUUGCCGUGAUGCCAAACCUUGAGGUGCUUGAGAUUGACGUGUUGCUGCGGGACUUGGAUGGCAACAUUGGCUUGGAAUACCUGCCUUCGCUUAAGGAAGUCGAAGUGCGUAUCUGUGCCCAGGAUGCGUCUGUUGCGAAGGUGAAAGAAGCGAAGGCUGCGCUGCAGAACGAAAUCAAGGCCCAUCCCAACUGUCCCUUGCUUCAAUUUAGUUAUCAAUACACAAAGAAACAGCAGGAAGACGAUGAUUUACUGAACAAGUUGAUCACUGAAGAAGGUGAGGAGGAGGAGCUGGAAGACGGUGAUGUACCCACCGAAGAAGAAGGUGAGGAGAGGAGGAAGAGGUCUCGCCGAUGAUGGUGUCACCAAAUUAAGCUUAGCUAGCUCCUGAAUCGAUUCAAAUUUGAAUCCAAACUCUGCCUGUAUGCUGCAUAUGUACGUUGGUAUCCUUCUGCAAUCAUAUUGCCAGCUGCAGGACCAAUUCUUCUUUCGUCUGCUCAAUUCUUGGCUAGAUUAGGAUGGGAAAACAAGGAAAAAUAAAAAUAUAUUUUAGUUGUUUUGUAGCACAAGUGGUUUGUUCCUGCUACCUUAUAGUUUAUGACAAAAAGAGCAAAAAAAAUUCCUAAUACUAAAGAAAAAUCAUGGCUAGGUCUUUUAAGCAUUUAGAAUUGUGAUCAAUUCCUGGUUAAAUAUAAAAACCAAAAAAUAUAUAAACAUGUGUUGUUAGGUAGUUUUUAGCAAAAAAAAAAUGCAUAAUUUUUUUUAUUUUUAGCAUUGAAUAUAUCUUCUGAAUAUUGUCUCAAGGAAAAAAAUAAAAAACUAAAACUACAAAAAACAUAAUUACUCGUUUCGUAGCAUUAGUGGUUUGUUCAUGCUACUUUAUAGUUUAUGACAAAAAGAGCAAAAGAAAAAUCCUAAUACUAAAGAAAAAUCAUGGCUAGGUUCUUUUAAGCAUUUAGAAUUGUGAGUGAUCAAUUCCUGGUUAAAUAUAAAAACCAAAAAGAAAUAUAAAUAUGUGUUGUUAGGUUUUUUUAGCAAAAAAGAAAAAAUGCAUAAAAAAUUAUUUUCUUUUUAGCAUUGAAUAUGUCUUCUGAUAAUUGUCUCAAGGAAAAAUAGAAAAAAACUACAAAAAACUAAAACUACAAAAAUAUCUUAAUUUUUGUCUUUUUGUUGGGGUGGGUGGGUGGGUAACUCCGCCUAUGCUAUUGUAAGGUAACACUUAUUGUUGCAUAGCCGGUCCCAAACCCGGAAAAAGGAGGAGGGACCAACUAGAUACUAGUGUGGGCUGUGAUGCUUCAACACUUUAAUGUUCAUGUUCUUUUAGAAUUGUGUUUUUCGUUCAUUCUUUCAUAACCAAUACACUUAUGUUUCAACACUGCUGCAUAAUAGCAAUGGUAUGUAUAGAUAAUGUAUGGUAUGUCCAAUAUGCUUCAAAUCCUAUAAAAUGCUAUGCAGUAUGAUGUGUCAAAAAAGGUUCUUUCUGCAACUAAACUUCAUGUAUCAUCAAAUUUAUUCAGGCAUAUGUUUUUUUUCUAGUGCCUGUCUUGAUGCUUUGGUUCUAGAGAGUGAUAAAACUCAAAAUUGAAAAAGGUGUGUAUCGAAUGCUCAACCUAAUAGAGCAGCGAGACAAAAAGUGUUUGGUCCGAGCCAAAAAGAGCAAGUCGAAGAGGUCUCAUCGAUGCGCAAUAGAAAUAAAUUUUAUGUAACGAUGCUGCAGAUGCAUCAUCGUACAGCACCAUAUGGAUAGCUAUCACUUAUCUUUAACGUGGAUGUUAAAGCGGUGGUGAGAUUCACUCAACGUUAAUCAUAUGUGUCUAAGUAAUAAGCAUGUAUGAUAAUUUUUCAUUUGAGUGAGAUUCAUCGUUUUAAGAUCUACGUUGAGAACAAGUGACGUUCAUCUAUCUGGUGUUACAUGAGGAUGUAUCUCUAGUAUUGCUGUAUAGAAUUUAUUUUCAUGGGCAAUGAUGAUGUCACUGGACCAGAAGAGGAGGAGGAGGAGCCGACCCCGCCCCGGUGCUACCUAGCUAUUGAAUCUAUUCAAUUCUAAUAAUACGUACUCUCCACUGCCCCUUCGCCAUUUUGAUUUACUGUCCAUUGUGUUUUCUACUUCUUCUUCAGCUGGUCCAGUAAUCUCUUCGGAUGUUGCCCGGUUUGCAUGCAUGAAGCAUUAAACUCCGUUUGUGGCCGGUCCAGUCCAGUAAUGUAACACUGUUAAAUAGGAGUCUUGAUGGACUCUGUUUCUGGGCAACAGUCAGCUCUGUUUUUGUUCUCUGGAUAUCUGUUGUUUUGGCUCGAUAGUUCCUACCUUUGAUUUGUAUACAUCAUUUGCUAUAGUUUGUCACUGCGAUGAUUCUGCACUAUGGAAUAGACCAUUUGCAACGACAUAAAUCGUUGCAAUAGAUAUUAGAUAAUGUGUGGCGCAGGGUUAAUCUCAUGUUGCUCAAUGUCUAUGGAAGCAGCCUUGGCGGGGGUGCCACGGACGACUUACUGCCGGUCCUGGCUACGCGCAGCCACAUCGUCUUCGACGGGUUCCACCUUUCCACUGCGCUCGUGGAGGCUUGGCGAACAUGUUUUCAGCUGCGCGUGUGGGCGUCUUCCUGCCGGGCCGUGGACGUCAGCGCCGUGGCAUAAGAUGGUGAGCGUGUCCGUAUCGCUCGGUUUCACCUCUGGCUCCAACUGCGGCAUCGCGACUGCAGUCUCUGGCAUUGUCAAGCUCAGGCAUGCCAUGAUCGCCAACAACCCCAUGGAAUGCAGCAAGAACCGGACAACCAUUGUCGUUGUGCAACUGCGAGAGUGGUUGGUGCUAAUAGAAGAUCCGCAUGGAGGAAAGGAAGGGAUACUAUAUUUCGGUGAUGCUGAAUUUCAACUGAAGAGACUGCAAAUGAUGUUAUAGAAAUCUGAUGCAAUCUAUGGUGCUGUGAUGCUUUGAAAUUGAAUUAUCUUGUUCCAUUGGUUCUAUAUUUUCAUGUUGCCAGUGAUGCCACAAACCACCUAUACGAAUUAUCUUGUGAUACACUUGGAUUAUCCUGAUGCAGACACAUUUAUAUGCAACCUGAUGCCUUCUUCUUUGGUA